rnacentral:pre_miRNA from 1 species
GUAGUACUCCCUCCGUCCGGAAAUACUUGUCAUCAAAAUGAAUAAAAGGGGAUGUAUCUAGAUGUAUAUUAGUUCUAGAUACAUCUUUUUUAUCCAUUUUGAUGACAAGUAUUUUCAGACGGAGGGAGUACUUG